ensembl:lncRNA
AAGGCAGCUCACUAUGUUUUAAAACAGAACCAUAAUGUUAUUUAAAAAAAAAACAAAAAAAAAAACAAUCCUAUUAAAGCACUUUCAUUCUCAAACAUGUUUGCAUGAAUGGGAUUAAAGGUCGUUUUCCUAAAAACGUUUACAUAAACAUUUAAUGUUUGUCUAGGUGUAAGAUCUCCCUCUAGUGUCAGUCAACAGCAGAACAGCAGUCAGACAUCAGAGCAGAACCAGAGUGACGCCGCCACGCCGGAAACAACACACUGCUGUCUGGAACUGCUCAUAUUUAUGACUCUAUUGAUGCAACGGUUCAGAAAAAAGACAAGCACAGACAGCGUAAGUGGACCUGAACUCACCUAUGCUGAGAUUGAACUCAAAUCUACAAAGAAACUGAAGAAAAAUAAAGAAAACAAAGGUAAACCAAAACAAAAAGAUCUAUUUUUAUGAUUUUCUAAUUGUAUUCAUAAGAAUAGUGGCUCUGAUUUUGAUUUAAUUCUUAAAUAACUCUAAAAAGAAAAAAAAUCAUGGCAGUAUUUUCCUAAACACCUGUUUAUAGAUGUGCGUUGUGAAUCUCACCUGAUCCAUAAGUUAAUUUUGUUUAACUUGCAAUCAUUCUAAAAUGAAAUAAUUAUACAUACAGUGUCCUGCGAAAGUAUUCAUACCUCUUCAUUUUUUCACAUUUUGUUAUGUUGCUGCCUUAUGUUAAACUGCUUUACAUUACUUUUUUCCCACAUCAUUCUACACUCCAUACACCAUAAUGACAAAGCAAAAAACAGAAUUGUCACAACUUCGUAAAUUUAUGAAAAAAUAAAAAAACUGAAAUAGGUUGAUUGCA